GUGAAAAACGAGCAAGGAGAGUUUGAACAGGAUAAAUGGUGGAUCUGUGCUGGCCUGGCUCAUUUGUACUGGAAUGGGCCAGGGAGGACUCGUAUGAAACAUGGUGCAAGGAGAUCUGAGGAAAGCUGAUGUGUAACUUGUGAGAAGCAGUUGGAGCCCAGCAGGGGCUGCGUAACCCUUCACAGGACAAGCUCCAGUGAAAACGUUUCUGUCUUCGGUGUGCAAAUGGAGAUGCUGCUGUUGGAGUUUAGCCCACGGGAGUGUCAUACAGCUGCAAAGGAGAGGAUGGACUCAAAGCAUCACUGCGCAGUGCGACUGCUGAGCCCGUGGGGUGAAAGCAUGCUGGAUUGGAGAUGCUGGAAGAAAGCACAAGCAGUCCUUCAAGAUGAGGUAGGAGGGAUGGCAGUAACAGAAGAGCACAGCUGAAUCUCAAGAUCUCAAGCAAAGACAGCAGGAGUCUGAGCAUUUAAAUAUGCCUUCGCCAUGCUGGAGCAUUCCAAGCAGUGUGUUCUUCAAGUUUGCAAAAUGAGCCUGGCGCACAGACAACUUCAAACGUAGCAUUUUAAUGACACUUAGAGCAUCUCAGAGGACCAUUCAAAGCAACAGAAAAGUGGUGAUGUCCUUAAUGACAGCAGAUGGUUUCUUCAAGGUGAAUAAUUUUAUUGUUUAUUGCCUGCUUUGUGUAGUGCAAGAAAUGACAUUUAAGAAACUGCUCAAAGAUGUUGUUUCAGUGCACAAAGAAAACAUUUAGGAACCAAAUUAUCUAUACCAGUGACUGUGUCACCACCAGAGCUUUAAGUCUGGCUUGGAGGCACGUAAUGUAGUGGCAGUGGGACUGUCAGAUGGUGGGCUUUCAGAAAACUGAACGUAGGGGUCGGGUGUGUGGUUGGGAAAUGUGUCCCCUGCAGUGUCUUUGCAAUAAACACCCUUAAAAUCAGGAGAGAGAGGGGGGAAAAAGCAAACAAGCAUACAUACGUAGCUAUCUGAGUUUUUGUAGUUAAGCAGCAGUAGAACAUGCCCAGUCUUAGCAGCUUGGUCAGUAUC
ensembl:lncRNA